UACAUAGGUCUCAAGCGUUGUUCGGAUUCAUUGGGCGUACAGGGUGCGUAGGCGGCGCGGUAAGUCGGGUGUGAAAUCUUGGAGCUUAACUCCGAAACUGCAUUCGAUACUGCCGUGCUUGAGGACUGGAGAGGAGACUGGAAUUUACGGUGUAGCGGUGAAAUGCGUAGAUAUCGUAAGGAAGACCAGUGGCGAAGGCGGGUCUCUGGACAGUUCCUGACGCUGAGGCACGAAGGUCAGGGGAGCAAACGGG
rnacentral:rRNA from 1 species